rnacentral:piRNA from 1 species
UUUAAUGGUUUCGUUAGUUUCUUAUGGU